UCGAGUUUUGAAAUGGGUUGUAGCUGGUCUUUUACGAGGCAUGUGCACGCCCUGCUCAUCCACUCUUAAACCUUAUGUGCACCUUUGUAGAGUUUGGUAAAAGUCAGUUGCAAGACUGAUGGGAUCCCUACUCUAUGUCUUUUAUACAAACGCUUUAGUUAUAGAAUGUUAUCUUUGCGUCUAACGCAUUAUAAUA
rnacentral:misc_RNA from 1 species